rnacentral:snRNA from 1 species
AGCUUUGCGCAGUGGCAGUAUCAUAGCCAAUGAGGUCAAACCGAGGCGUGAUUAUUGCUAAUUGAAAACUUUUCCCAUACCCCGCCGCGUGAUGACUUGAAAUAUAGUCAGCACUGGCAAUUUUUGACAGUCUCUCAGGAGA